AGAGGAAGUCCGGUGCGAAUCCGGCGCGGUCCCGCCACUGUCACCGGGGCACUCGGCCGAGUGCGACCCGGAAGCCAGGAACUC
rnacentral:ncRNA from 1 species